UGAGAACCAGGGUUGUUAUUUGUGGUGCUUGGAGAGAACACUAAGAGGUCCCUUCUAUUCUCUAUGGAGAGACAUCUUUCCCUCAAAGACCUCGUUGAGUAAGCUCUAGGAACCCCACAGAUUAGGAAAAGCUUUCUUUGGAGAAGGCAAGGAGAAGAUGUGCAGUGUAUUUGUGAAGAUCUAGCCACAAGUUCAUGCCUUGAUUUUUGCAUCUCCAAAUCUAAAUCCUGGAAAGGUUUUGAGUGCCCCAUCAAGGUAAGUCCAUUCCUUUCUAUUUUAUAUUGUUAUCUGCCAUGGUGAGCAGAUUCAUUUUGUAAGCCAACUUGCCUCUUGAUGCUGAUAACCUCUAGUUUGAUCUUUAGUGGGUUGUGAUCUAAGAGAGGCAGUCUCUUAAUGUUGUGAUCCUUAGCUGGGCCAAGAAGAAAACCAUUGUAAUCCCAUUAUCGGUGAUAGUGGAAGGUUUACGUGGACUUGGUCUUGUGGCUUUUCCUCACUGGUUUUCCAUGUAAAAACCCCGUUUCCUUUUGUUUUGUUGCUUUGUGGUGCUAAUUACGGCCUUAUUCCCGUGAUCCUAUUGUUUUCACACAAAGGGAAGAAAAUCUCUUCUAUUUCUGCUAUUGUAGGUCCAUAUGCUCUGGUCUGAGUGUGUAUACACUGAUAUCAUUCUCUCUGUACACCAUUUCUCUCUUCUACGUGCAUCUGUUUGACCUGAGAUAGAGUUUAUUUUCAACUUAUUUGGCCUUUCUUUUCCAUCAAAUUGGUAUUAGAGCCUCCUAAUAGUAAUGGACAAUGAGAUGAUUACGGGGCUAUAGUUCAGGCAUCUAACCAUGAGAAGUUGUAUAAAAUGAAGAUCCUGAAAAGUAAUUCUACUUAAAAUACUAGUUCUAUGCCCUACCAUGAAGGGAGGAAUGAAAACAUUAGUUCAUGCAAAAUGCCUUCAACAAAAUCAUUGCAAUCUCCUCAAAACUAAUGCCAGGUUGGAGGAGGAUAACAUGCCACAUUAUUUUUACGUGCAUCGACUGCUAUCCUAUGGACACCUAGUGAUCACUGUUUUCUGUGGGGAGGGAGUGGAGGAUUUUUAUGACAAUCUUUCUAUUAUGUCAUACAAGGAAGAACCCAACUCAAGGAAGAGAAGAUAUGGUUCUUUACAAGUGCACUGUAUAUAUAUAUAUAUAUAUAUAUAUAUAUAUAUAUAUA
rnacentral:lncRNA from 1 species